rnacentral:lncRNA from 11 species
ACACCAAGCUAAAUUAGUGUUUCUUUUUUAACAACUGUCAAAGUGAAAGAAGUGUGUCUCUGUCUUCAGAAGAGGAAUUUUCCUUGGAUGAAAUACCAAGCGAUGAGGAGCCAGAAAUAUAUUUCAAAGACCCAGAUGAAUUACUGCAGUUGUUUAGACAUCUUGAAGAACAAAACCUUUCACUGUUUCAAAAUAUUCAAGAAAUCAGUGGAACCCUGGAAGAUAGACAGCUGAAUGGUCAAGCUUUUCAAGAGCGCAUGUAAAUAUAUUAUGUAAUCACUUCUUAAGUUGCCUUGUACUGUCCUGAGUGACUGGCUG